GACGAACGCUGGCGGCGUGCUUAACACAUGCCAGUCGAACGAAGUGGCGAACGGGUGAGUAACGCGUAAUCAACCUGCCCUUCAGAGGGGGACAACAGUUGGAAACGACUGCUCAUACCGCAUACUGAAGGCGGGGAUUGGGUCUGAUUAGCUAGUUGGAGGGGUAACGGCCCACCAAGGCGAUGAUCAGUAGCCGGUCUGAGAGGAUGACCGGCCACAUUGGGACUGAGACACGGCCCAGGCUCCUACGGGAGGCAGCAGUGGGGAAUCUUCGGAAAUGGACGAAAGGCUGACGGAGCAACGCCGCGUGGGUGGUGACGGCCUUCGGGUUGUAAAGAUCUGUUAAUCGGGGCGCGGUACCGGAAUAGAAAGCCACGGCUAACUACGUGCCAGCAGCCGCGGUAAUUC
rnacentral:rRNA from 1 species